UGUAGAAUAUGAUGAAAGUUGUAUUACUGUAUAUCGGUGAUGAUCUUUUGAUUCAUAUGAUCGAUAAAAACUUCAACUCGCUACGUUCUUUCUGAUUCUUAC